CAGUAGCCCCGCCCCUCGUUCGCUAUCCUCCAAUAACAUUGCAGCAGGAUCAGACAGAGGACGUAGCCCCGCCCACUGUCGGAUCAACGGACAAACAGUCUCUACGCUCACUCACGGACACUUGCCGCUCCUGCUGGAACAUCUGAGCCGCGCGACUGUUAUUUUAUGUUGUUUAUAUUAGUUUGCUGGAUGAUCGCGUGCUGCACGUAGUAACGGUCGCAGCAUCCCCGCCCGCCCUGGAGUUGAGCACGGAUCGUGAAGCGCAGGUUUUGUUCAGCAGAGGAUUUGGAGCGAGUGCAGCGGAGGACGCAGAAGAGCCGUCGCCAUGUGCAUUUGACAAAUACCCGGGGGCCGUAUGGGCGAGCUGAUGAGGAUGACGAUGGUGAGUGAGCUCUUGCUGUAGAGUCUGAUGGUUU
rnacentral:lncRNA from 1 species